CCAAUAGCGUAUAUUAAAGUUGUUGCAGUUAAAAAGCUCGUAGUUGAAUUUCGGGAUUAGUACGCUGGUCGUGCCUUCGGUAUGUACUGGUGUUACUGGUUCCUACCUUCUGACGAACCGUCAUGUCAUUAAUUUGGUGUGGCGGGAAAUCAGGACUGUUACUUUGAAAAAAUUAGAGUGUUUAAAGCAGGCUCGCGCUUGAAUACAUUAGCAUGGAAUAAUGAAAUAGGACGUUCGAUCCUAUUUUGUUGGUUUCUAGGAUUUACGUAAUGAUUAAUAGGGAUAGUUGGGGGCAUUAGUAUUCAAUUGUCAGAGGUGAAAUUCUUGGAUUUAUUGAAGACUAACUACUGCGAAAGCAUUUGCCAAGGAUGUUUUCAUUAAUCAAGAACGAAAGUUAGGGGAUCGAAGACGAUCAGAUACCGUCGUAGUCUUAACCAUAAACUAUGCCGACUAGGGAUCGGAUGAUGUUAUUUUUAAUGACUCAUUCGGCGCCUUACG
rnacentral:misc_RNA from 1 species